rfam:Myotis brandtii contig316502, whole genome shotgun sequence.
AUGCUCACUUCAGAAGCACAUAUACUAAAACUGGAUAUUGAGGCAAUUAGUAUGGUCCCUAGACAAGGAUGACAUGCACAUUCAUUAAGUGUCUCAUAUUUUU